AGAGGACAGAAGGAAGCAUGAAAGCUAAGAAUUCAUCUUCAUAUCUCAUAAAGCAGGAGCGGAGGAAGUUGACUGCUAACAUAAUUAGCAGAUGAUUGCACGGGGGAGGCUGAAAUCUUUAACAGCUGUUUCAAAGCAUUCUGCACCAAAUCUUCUGUGCUGCAGAGCACUUCCAGCUCUUGAAUGGCAUUCUCUCCAAUGACACAGAUUAUGGGACCAUGGAGUGGAGGCCUCCACGAAGGACUUAACUUGUUCAUUUACUUGGAAAAAAGGAUAAAGGGAAGACAAUAUGAAUCAAUGCUACCAUUUGGUACAGAAGAGUCACUAUGAAAGAAAGGCAGAGCGCAGCACAGAACUUACUAUUAUAAAAGAAAUACUCUUAAUAGUUGGGUGUGAUGGAAUAAUAAUCAUAAAAUUAGGAAGGAAAGAACUGCUUUAGCUCCCUAUGGAGUAUUAUAGAGUCUGCCAGAUGUAAAGUAGUAUGUGUCAAGUUGCAGAUGGAAAAAUAAGAGCUUUAGCAAUAAAUCUAUAAUUAAGUAAUGACUGAAGUACCAAGUACAUUUACAAACUGCGCAUCACGUUGUCCCAGAGGAGGAAAACUACUUGGUUUGGGAGAGUUUUCAAGAUGAGACACUUAAAUGGUUUGUGCAGUACAAAACUUCUGCUGGGAUGUGCUACCAACAUAUUCUUUCGACAGAUUCAGUCAUAGCAGCACUGAAAUUAAUCUUUCCAUGUCCUUUCCCAGUUCCGCAGUGUGUGCUGGUUUAAGUGGAACAGAGGAACACAGAAACCAUGCAUUUCGGCCUCUGUUGUUGUUGCAAGCACUCUGGUAGAACACAAAUGAGAAUGGGGCUAAUGGCACUGCCUGCUACAAAGCAUUACUUCCUCUCCCCUACCCACAGGUGCCUGAUCCGUAACAGGGACCCAGACAAGAUCAACGUGCAAGGAUGGUGAGUAUGGAAAUAUAUUCACAGUUUACAUUCCUGGGCCUGUGCUCCUAAACCUCCCGCAAGAGUGUAAACUCAGGCCUUUCUUUUGCUUUGGUAAAUGCAGCAGUUUCAUCAAUAUCAACAUUUUUCAUUAUUUUUUUUUAAGCAGUGAGAAAUGGCUUGCCCGGUACACACAGCAAGCUUUCCCAGGAUUUAGGGAAACUCAAACUUUUCAACUACUACUAGUCUGAUUGCAAGGUAUGAAAGCACUUGCUCUCUUAAGAGAAUUAGACUGUUAAGAUCUUGAGCAAUUUCUAUCAAAAUCAAGUGUUUACAUUAGAGCUUAUGCUUCUAAAUCUCUUUAUGGGUUUUGAAAAUUUAGUUACAAGGGCAAAUCAAGAUAAAUUUGACAAGAUCUGCUCAAGUCCUUUUAUUUGUAGCCUCUGUUAAAUGAAAGAAUUCCUGUAAGCUAAUGUUUUCUAAAAUAUGGAUGCCAAAUUGACUAAAGCAUUUCUUGAAGGAAAGAGGAGGAUUAUUUUGAAGAAACUGUAACAGAAUUUUCUUUUGAGGAAAUUAUAAUACAAUUUUUUGUCAAGUUGAAUCUAGACUCAGUUGUUUUAAAUCACUUGAAUCAGAAACGUGUGGGCUUUUUAUCCCUUUUUAGUUUAACAAUCUCAGGUGAUUUCCAAAAGGAAAGGCACAGGGAAGGCUUCACUCACUAAUUCACACCGUGACAAUGACUGCUAAAGUGCCUUCUGAGAUUUAAAGUGGGGAGCUGUUCCUUGAAAGUCAGCAGCCAACGUGACAGCCAGCAGGAUGCAAUUGUCCAAGUGAUGUGUGGAGGUGUUCUGUAUUAUGUGAAUCUCCUUCCUUUCCAGCUAGGUGGUAAUGUGCAUUUAUGCAGAAAGCACACCAGAAUGGAGGGCUGAUUUUAAUUUAAUCCUAUAAGUACUCAGUGUAAGAACAGUUCUUUCACAAAGGUAAAAUUUAGCUCUAUAAGUUUAAAAUUAAAGUAUAUACUGUAGCAAAAUGACUCAAAUUUU